rnacentral:rRNA from 1 species
GAGUUUGAUCCUGGCUCAGAAUCAACGCUGGCGGCGUGCCUAACACAUGCAAGUCAAGCGCGAACGGAGACUUCGGUUUCCUAGUAUAGCGGCGAACGGUUGAGUAACACGUGGGUAAUCUGCCUUCGGGUGGUGAAUAACUCAGGGAAACUUGAGCUAAUUCCGCAUAACGUGGACGAUCACAGGAUCGGCUACCAAAGCUGGGGACCCUUCGAGCCUGCUGCCUGGACAGGAGCCCGCGAACCCUUAGCUUGUUGUUGAGGUAAUGGCUCACCAAACCUCCCAUUGGUAUCCGGCCUGAAAGGGCGGACGGUCACACUGGAACUGACACACGGACCAGACUUCUACACUGG